UGGGGAAUAUUGGACAAUGGGCGCAAGCCUGAUCCAGCCAUACCGCGUGGGUGAAGAAGGCCUUCGGGUUGUAAAGCCCUUUUGUUGGGAAAGAAAUCCAGCUGGUUAAUACCCGGUUGGGAUGACGGUACCCAAAGAAUAAGCACCGGCUAACUUCGUGCCAGCAGCCGCGGUAAUACGAAGGGUGCAAGCGUUACUCGGAAUUACUGGGCGUAAAGCGUGCGUAGGUGGUCGUUUAAGUCUGUUGUGAAAGCCCUGGGCUCAACCUGGGAACUGCAGUGGAAACUGGACGACUAGAGUGUGGUAGAGGGUAGCGGAAUUCCUGGUGUAGCAGUGAAAUGCGUAGAGAUCAGGAGGAACAUCCAUGGCGAAGGCAGCUACCUGGACCAACACUGACACUGAGGCACGAAAGCGUGGGGAGCAAACAGGAUUAGAUACCCUGGUAGUCCACGCCCUAAACGAUGCGAACUGGAUGUUGGGUGCAAUUUGGCACGCAGUAUCGAAGCUAACGCGUUAAGUUCGCCGCCUGGGGAGUACGGUCGCAAGACUGAAACUCAAAUGAAUUGACGGGGGUCAUAGC
rnacentral:rRNA from 1 species